rnacentral:ncRNA from 1 species
GUAUUUGGUUCCUUGCUUAGUACCUAAGCAUUGGAUUAAUAGGGAAAUCGGUGGAAAACCGAUGCUGUUCCCGCAACUGUAAGCUUCAUUGAUUUUGUACCCAUCUGAGCCACUGUUCUGUUAGUAAGAAUGGGAAGGCAGUACAAAAGAAGCGAGCCAGGAGACCUGCCACAUACAU